rnacentral:rRNA from 1 species
GACGAACGCUGGCGGCGUGCUUAACACAUGCAAGUCGAACGGAAAGGCCCUGCUUUUGUGGGGUGCUCGAGUGGCGAACGGGUGAGUAACACGUGAGUAACCUGCCCUUGACUUUGGGAUAACUUCAGGAAACUGGGGCUAAUACCGGAUAGGAGCUCCUGCUGCAUGGUGGGGGUUGGAAAGUUUCGGCGGUUGGGGAUGGACUCGCGGCUUAUCAGCUUGUUGGUGGGGUAGUGGCUUACCAAGGCUUUGACGGGUAGCCGGCCUGAGAGGGUGGCCGGCCACAUUAGGACUGAGAUACGGCCCAGACUCCUACGGGAGGCAGCAGUGGGGAAUAUUGCACAAUGGGCGGAAGCCUGAUGCAGCGACGCCGCGUGCGGGAUGACGGCCUUCGGGUUGUAAACCGCUUUCGCCUGUGACGAAGCGUGAGUGACGGUAAUGGGUAAAGAAGCACCGGCUAACUACGUG